UACGUAGGUGGCAAUCGUUGUCCGGAUUUACUGGGCGUAACGAGCGCGCAGGCGGUCGUUCAAGUCGCGUGUGAAAGCCCCCGGCUCAACUGGGGAGGGUCACGCGAUACUGAUCGACUCGAAGGCAGGAGAGGGUAGUGGAAUUCCCGGUGUAGUGGUGAAAUGCGUAGAUAUCGGGAGGAACACCAGUGGCGAAGGCGGAUCUCUGGGCCUUACCUGACGCUGAGGCGCGAAAGCGUGGGGAGCAAACAGG
rnacentral:rRNA from 1 species